AACCAGAGAAUCAAAGGAACAUUUAAUAUUAAAAAGACCGAUUACCUCCUUGUGGAUGAACAACACGAGGCUGUACAAAAGAUGGCUUCACAACUUCAAACCACCAGAAGAGUUCUGCCAUGAACACCAAAUAAUUACUCUAUAUAAGAAAGUUAAGAAAAUUAAAAGAAAACCUAAAUUAGGUCAGACCUGUUACGCUGGAGCACUUACCCUCCACUCUGACGACACCGGGGCAGUAGAAGUGGAUGAGGGCAGCUAAGGCACAGCCAUCUGUGCCGUCCUUCAGCAGAUUCUCCACCAG